GGGUUGUGAGGUUAAGCGACUAAGCGUACACGGUGGAUGCCCUGGCAGUCAGAGGCGAUGAAGGACGUGCUAAUCUGCGAUAAGCGUCGGUAAGGUGAUAUGAACCGUUAUAGCCGGCGAUUUCCGAAUGGGGAAACCCAGUGUGUUUCGACACACUAUC
rnacentral:rRNA from 2 species